GGGUUGUGAGGUUAAGCGACUAAGCGUACACGGUGGAUGCCCUGGCAGUCAGAGGCGAUGAAGGGCGUGCUAAUCUGCGAUAAGCGCCGGUAAGGUGAUAUGAACCGUUAUAACCGGCGAUACCCGAAUGGGGAAACCCAGUGUGAUUCGUCACACUAUCAUUAACUGAAUCCAUAGGUUAAUGAGGCGAACCGGGGGAACUGAAACAUCUAAGUACCCCGAGGAAAAGAAAUCAACCGAGAUUCCCCCAGUAGCGGCGAGCGAACGGGGAGGAGCCCAGAGCCUGAAUCAGCAUGUGUGUUAGUGGAAGCGUCUGGAAAGGCGCGCGAUACAGGGUGACAGCCCCGUACACAAAAGCGCAUGUGCUGUGAGCUCGAUGAGUAGGGCGGGACACGUGGUAUCCUGUCUGAAUAUGGGGGGACCAUCCUCCAAGGCUAAAUACUCCUGACUGACCGAUAGUGAACCAGUACCGUGAGGGAAAGGCGAAAAGAACCCCGGCGAGGGGAGUGAAAAAGAACCUGAAACCGUGUACGUACAAGCAGUGGGAGCACAGGUUUACCUGUGUGACUGCGUACCUUUUGUAUAAUGGGUCAGCGACUUAUAUUCUGUAGCAAGGUUAACCGUAUAGGGGAGCCGUAGGGAAACCGAGUCUUAACCGGGCGUUAAGUUGCAGGGUAUAGACCCGAAACCCGGUGAUCUAGCCAUGGGCAGGUUGAAGGUUGGGUAACACUAACUGGAGGACCGAACCGACUAAUGUUGAAAAAUUAGCGGAUGACCUGUGGCUGGGGGUGAAAGGCCAAUCAAACCGGGAGAUAGCUGGUUCUCCCCGAAAGCUAUUUAGGUAGCGCCUCGUGAAUUCAUCUCCGGGGGUAGAGCACUGUUUCGGCUAGGGGGCCAUCCCGGCUUACCAACCCGAUGCAAACUGCGAAUACCGGAGAAUGUUAUCACGGGAGACACACGGCGGGUGCUAACGUCCGUCGUGAAGAGGGAAACAACCCAGACCGCCAGCUAAGGUCCCAAAGUCAUGGUUAAGUGGGAAACGAUGUGGGAAGGCCCAGACAGCCAGGAUGUUGGCUUAGAAGCAGCCAUCAUUUAAAGAAAGCGUAAUAGCUCACUGGUCGAGUCGGCCUGCGCGGAAGAUGUAACGGGGCUAAACCAUGCACCGAAGCUGCGGCAGCGACACUCAUGUGUUGUUGGGUAGGGGAGCGUUCUGUAAGCCUGCGAAGGUGGCCUGUGAGGGUUGCUGGAGGUAUCAGAAGUGCGAAUGCUGACAUAAGUAACGAUAAAGCGGGUGAAAAGCCCGCUCGCCGGAAGACCAAGGGUUCCUGUCCAACGUUAAUCGGGGCAGGGUGAGUCGACCCCUAAGGCGAGGCCGAAAGGCGUAGUCGAUGGGAAACGGGUUAAUAUUCCCGUACUUGGUGUUACUGCGAAGGGGGGACGGAGAAGGCUAUGUUGGCCGGGCGACGGUUGUCCCGGUUUAAGCGUGUAGGCUGGUUUUCCAGGCAAAUCCGGAAAAUCAAGGCUGAGGCGUGACGACGAGGCACUACGGUGCUGAAGCAACAAAUGCCCUGCUUCCAGGAAAAGCCUCUAAGCAUCAGGUAACAUCAAAUCGUACCCCAAACCGACACAGGUGGUCAGGUAGAGAAUACCAAGGCGCUUGAGAGAACUCGGGUGAAGGAACUAGGCAAAAUGGUGCCGUAACUUCGGGAGAAGGCACGCUGACACGUAGGUGAAGUGAUUUACUCAUGGAGCUGAAGUCAGUCGAAGAUACCAGCUGGCUGCAACUGUUUAUUAAAAACACAGCACUGUGCAAACACGAAAGUGGACGUAUACGGUGUGACGCCUGCCCGGUGCCGGAAGGUUAAUUGAUGGGGUCAGCGCAAGCGAAGCUCCUGAUCGAAGCCCCGGUAAACGGCGGCCGUAACUAUAACGGUCCUAAGGUAGCGAAAUUCCUUGUCGGGUAAGUUCCGACCUGCACGAAUGGCGUAAUGAUGGCCAGGCUGUCUCCACCCGAGACUCAGUGAAAUUGAACUCGCUGUGAAGAUGCAGUGUACCCGCGGCAAGACGGAAAGACCCCGUGAACCUUUACUAUAGCUUGACACUGAACAUUGAGCCUUGAUGUGUAGGAUAGGUGGGAGGCUUUGAAGUGUGGACGCCAGUCUGCAUGGAGCCGACCUUGAAAUACCACCCUUUAAUGUUUGAUGUUCUAACGUGGACCCGUAAUCCGGGUUGCGGACAGUGUCUGGUGGGUAGUUUGACUGGGGCGGUCUCCUCCUAAAGAGUAACGGAGGAGCACGAAGGUUGGCUAAUCCUGGUCGGACAUCAGGAGGUUAGUGCAAUGGCAUAAGCCAGCUUGACUGCGAGCGUGACGGCGCGAGCAGGUGCGAAAGCAGGUCAUAGUGAUCCGGUGGUUCUGAAUGGAAGGGCCAUCGCUCAACGGAUAAAAGGUACUCCGGGGAUAACAGGCUGAUACCGCCCAAGAGUUCAUAUCGACGGCGGUGUUUGGCACCUCGAUGUCGGCUCAUCACAUCCUGGGGCUGAAGUAGGUCCCAAGGGUAUGGCUGUUCGCCAUUUAAAGUGGUACGCGAGCUGGGUUUAGAACGUCGUGAGACAGUUCGGUCCCUAUCUGCCGUGGGCGCUGGAGAACUGAGGGGGGCUGCUCCUAGUACGAGAGGACCGGAGUGGACGCAUCACUGGUGUUCGGGUUGUCAUGCCAAUGGCACUGCCCGGUAGCUAAAUGCGGAAGAGAUAAGUGCUGAAAGCAUCUAAGCACGAAACUUGCCCCGAGAUGAGUUCUCCCUGAGACUUAAAGUCUCCUGAAGGAACGUUGAAGACGACGACGUUGAUAGGCCGGGUGUGUAAGCGCAGCGAUGCGUUGAGCUAACCGGUACUAAUGAACCGUGAGGCUUAACCUUACAACGCCGAAG
rnacentral:rRNA from 1 species